GAUGAACGCUAGCGGCAGGCCUAACACAUGCAAGUCGAGGGGCAUCGCGGUGCAGCAAUGCACUGGCGGCGACCGGCGUACGGGUGCGUAACGCGUAUGCAACCUGCCCCGCACCGGGGGAUAGCCCGCCGAAAGGCGGAUUAAUACCCCAUGGUCCCCGGGUGUCCGCAUGGGCAUCCGGGUAAAGCCUUGGCGGUGCGGGAUGGGCAUGCGUGCCAUUAGCUGGCUGGUGGGGUAACGGCCUACCAGGGCAACGAUGGCUAGGGGGUCUGAGAGGAUGGUCCCCCACACUGGUACUGAGACACGGACCAGACUCCUACGGGAGGCAGCAGUGAGGAAUAUUGGUCAAUGGGCGGAAGCCUGAACCAGCCAUGCCGCGUGCGGGAUGAAGGCCCUACGGGUUGUAAACCGCUUUUCCCCGGGAAGAAUAACCCCGAUGAGUCGGGGGAUGCCGGUACCGGGGGAAUAAGGAUCGGCUAACUCCGUG
rnacentral:rRNA from 1 species